GCGCAGCAGUCGCGAAAACUCCGCAAUACGCGAAAGCGUGACGGGGCUAUCCCGAGUGCCGUCCGCUGAGGAUGGCUUUUCCCUAGUGUAGAUAGCUGGGGGAAUAAGGAGAGGGCAAGUCUGGUGUCAGCCGCCGCGGUAAUACCAGCUCUUCGAGUGGUAGGGAUGUUUAUUGGGCCUGAAGCAUCCGUAGCUGGCUGUGCAAGUCCUCCGUUAAAUCCAGCGAUUCAAUCGUUGGAUUGCGGGGGAUACUGGUGUGCUAGGAGGUGGGAGAGGCCGACGGUAUUCCCGGAGUAGGGGUGAAAUCCUAUAAUCCCGGGAGGACCACCAGUGGCGAAGGCUGUUGGCUAGAACGCGCCCGACGGUGAGGGAUGAAAGCUGGGGGAGCGAACCGGAUUAGAUACCCGGGUAGUCC
rnacentral:rRNA from 1 species